rnacentral:rRNA from 1 species
GAUGAACGCUGGCGGCGUGCCUAAUACAUGCAAGUCGAGCGAACAGACGAGGAGCUUGCUCCUCUGACGUUAGCGGCGGACGGGUGAGUAACACGUGGAUAACCUACCUAUAAGACUGGGAUAACUUCGGGAAACCGGAGCUAAUACCGGAUAAUAUAUUGAACCGCAUGGUUCAAUAGUGAAAGACGGUUUUGCUGUCACUUAUAGAUGGAUCCGCGCCGCAUUAGCUAGUUGGUAAGGUAACGGCUUACCAAGGCAACGAUGCGUAGCCGACCUGAGAGGGUGAUCGGCCACACUGGAACUGAGACACGGUCCAGACUCCUACGGGAGGCAGCAGUAGGGAAUCUUCCGCAAUGGGCGAAAGCUUGACGGAGCAACGCCGCGUGAGUGAUGAAGGUCUUCGAAUCGUAAAACUCUGUUAUUAGGGAAGAACAAAUGUGUAAGCAACUAUGCACGUCUUGACGGUACCUAAUCAGAAAGCCACGGCUAACUACGUG